rnacentral:rRNA from 1 species
UUGGAGGGCAAGUCUGGUGCCAGCAGCCGCGGUAAUUCCAGCUCCAAUAGCGUAUAUUAAAGUUGUUGCAGUUAAAAAGCUCGUAGUUGAAUUUCGGGAUCAAGGGAUCGGUCAUGCCUUGGUAUGUACUGGUCUUAUUGGUUCUCACCUUCUAAAGAACCAUGAUGUCAUUCAUUUGAUGUUAUGGGGAAUUAGGACUGUUACCUUGAAAAAAUUAGAGUGUUUAAAGCAAGCUUACGCUUGAAUACAUUAGCAUGGAAUAAUGAAUUAGGACAUCAGAUUCUAUUUUGUUGGUUUCUAGGAUCGAUGUAAUGAUUAAUAGGGAUAGUUGGGGGCAUUAGUAUUCAAUUGUCAGAGGUGAAAUUCUUGGAUUUAUUGAAGACUAACUACUGCGAAAGCAUUUGCCAAGGAUGUUUUCAUUAAUCAAGAACGAAAGUUAGGGGAUCGAAGACGAUCAGAUACCGUCGUAGUCUUAACCAUAAACUAUGCCGACUAGGGAUCGGAUGAUGUUAAUUUUUUAAUGACUCAUUCGGCGCCUUACGGGAAAC